rnacentral:lncRNA from 1 species
GUUAGAAAAAUGACCUUCCUUGAGAGGGAGAACCAUUAGUUAUCAAAGAUUCACAUAGUUCUGUUGUAAUUAAACUUCUAUAUUAAAAGUGGUAAGAAAAGUAACUAAAGACCAACAUUAAAUCUGUUUUUAAAAAAAGCAAGAAGCAAUGGCUGGCUGAUGGUUAAAUGUGAUCACAUUACACUAGAAAAUUAAGCAAUUCAUAUUUUUAUUAGGAA